rnacentral:rRNA from 1 species
AUAGGAAUCUACCUAGUAGUACGGAAUAAUUGUUGGAAACGACAACUAAUACCGUAUACGCCCUACGGGGGAAAAAUUUAUUGCUAUUAGAUGAGCCUAUAUUAGAUUAGCUAGUUGGUGGGGUAAUAGCCUACCAAGGUAAUGAUCUAUAGCUGAUCUGAGAGGAUGAUCAGCCACACUGGAACUGAGAUACGGUCCAGACUCCUACGGGAGGCAGCAGUGGGGAAUAUUGGACAAUGGGCGAAAGCCUGAUCCAGCCAUGCCGCAUGAGUGAAGAAGGCCUUUGGGUUGUAAAGCUCUUUUAGUGAGGAAGAUAAUGACGGUACUCACAGAAGAAGUCCUGGCUAACUCCGUGCCAGCAGCCGCGGUAAUACGGAGAGGGCUAGCGUUAUUCGGAAUUAUUGGGCGUAAAGGGCGCGUAGGCUGGUUAAUAAGUUAAAAGUGAAAUCCCGAGGCUUAACCUUGGAAUUGCUUUUAAAACUAUUAAUCUAGAGAUUGAAAGAGGAUAGAGGAAUUCCUGAUGUAGAGGUAAAAUUCGUAAAUAUUAGGAGGAACACCAGUGGCGAAGGCGUCUAUCUGGUUCAAAUCUGACGCUGAAGCGCGAAGGCGUGGGGAGCAAACAGGAUUAGAUACCCUGGUAGUCCACGCUGUAAACGAUGAAUGUUAAAUAUGGGGAGUUUACUUUCUGUAUUACAGC